ACUUGGAUGAUUGGCCAAGAUUUCCCUACAUGCCAGAAAUGGAUCCUUAUCCUAUAACCACUCGGUUAAAAAAUGACUAUCCAUUGGACACCCUUACUAAGUUUCUUCGUGACAAUGCUCCACUGCCCACUGAAAUUCUCUNCAGCUUGGAGAAGAGAGUGGAUCAGUGCAAAGUGGACGUUCAAAACCAUGCCGGACAACUCUUUUCUUUGGAAUCUGGAACACUGCAAACGGUUGACAAAGCACUUUCUUUUCCAGAGCAAGUAGAUAAUACUUCAACUCCAGAAUCAAAAGGCAUUUUGAUAAAGAAGAAGAAGAAAUUGCAGGUAGUUUAUCACCUAAGAGAACAGCAUGGACCAUUUUCCAGAUAAUGAUCUUAUUGGUUGUGUUAGUAAAACUGAGGUAUUCAGGAGAAGGAAGUUUUACCUUGCUUAAUAAAACUGAAGAUGACUUGCA
rnacentral:lncRNA from 1 species